ensembl:lncRNA
CGCCUAGGCAGCCACUGGACACCUGCAACUGCUUACAGGACUGAAAGCAGGCGACGAAGACUGUGAAGUUUGACGGUCUGGAAAGCAGAGGCCAGCCGCGCUAUCUGAGAGCACCGAGACUCCGGACAGCGCCGCUCGGGGUCCAGGAAGCGAGCCACAACCUGCUUCAGCACCAGAGCUCCGGACAGCUCCUAGGGAUUUCGGGGCCGACUUCAUUUCAGGACCAAGAGGCUGGAUAGCUUCCCUGACAAGGAGGUGAGAUAAAAGUACACACACACACAAAUCUAAUUUACAACAGGUGACAGUUGAAGAAACUGAGACCCAAAGAGGGGAAAGGAUGUAACAAGCCCAAGAGUGAAGCUGCAAGUCAACCCCACAGCUUCCCAACUCCAAAUUCCAUGUUUCCAACAUAGUUGGCUGGGAGUUGGGCCUUUGGGGAUCAGACCCUGCCUCUCUCCAGGAGGACCAGAAAUGCACACCAGGAGACAGUGGAUAACAGGUGUCAUGGCUUAGCUCAGGUGAGGGGAGAUAACUCGGUGGGGAUCAAAGACAUGGGGCAGACGGUGGCGAAGAAGACUGGAGCGGUUGUGGUCUAGUGCU